ACCGGUUUUAAAAAGUGGUUUCACAUUCAAUAAAGACAUGUGAACCCUGAUAAAGCUAGUGG
rnacentral:pre_miRNA from 1 species